rnacentral:tRNA from 1 species
GCCUCGGUAGCUCAGGUGGCAGAGCAUCUGGUUGAAACCCGAAGCGCGGCGGUUCGACUCCGCCCCGAGGCA